rnacentral:lncRNA from 1 species
UUAAUUUAAAAUUAUAACUCUUAUUCUCCUUGUUCUAUUUUAACCAUCCAAACACUAUUUACCUUAUUCCUAAAAACAACCUAAUUUUCAUCCAAACACAAAAUUGAUCUAGUUUCUAUUUAACCUGAACUUAUACUUAUCCCUGUAAUAAGCAAUUUUUACUUAUAUCCGAACCAAAUGCAGCAUAGGGGUAUAUUUGAAAUAGGUUGGAACGUAAAAAGGAUAUUUUUAAUAUUAGCCUUUUAAAAGGGAUAAAUCAGAAAGUCGAAAAUUUUUCAGAGAUAUAUAAGCAAUUGCCCCUUUAUAAUAAGUUACAUUAUACUUUUGGUCCUCAAACUAUGAGGUGCGUGAUAUUUUGAUUCUCAAAUUUUAGUUUGUUGCAAUUUUUGGCUCCAAAUUUCUGAAUUGCCUUAAUCAAGUCCUACAACAUAAUUUAGUUAGUUAAGUCUUGACAAAUUAUUGAUAUAUAGAAAUGAUGUGAGAAAUGAUGUGAAAGCACUGUAAUCGAUAAUGCGAAAAUAAUUAAUAUUCUGUAUUAUUUCUACAUUAAUAAUUAGUUAAUAUUUAGCUAACCAAAUUGGAUUGUGAACCUGAUUGUAAUAAUUUAGAAACUUUGAGUCAGAAAUUGUAAGAUAUUAAAUUUGAGGACUAGUAUCAUCUACCUCAUAGUUUGAGGACUAUAUAUAUAUAUAUAUAUAUAUAUAUAUAUAGAAUUAGGCUGGAAUACUAUUAAUAGUAAAACGUUCUUUUUGCUAUCAAGUUUUUAACCCUUCGAUGAAAAAUUGUAGGGUCAGGAUGAUAUUAGUCGGUUGGAGUUGAGUGGUCCUCCUAGGGUUGAGUGGUCCCUACUGGGUUAUAGUAUUUAAUCCAAUGGUUAGAAAUAAUGAAAAGAGUUGAUCCAAAGGCUAAAAAACUGGUAGCAACAAUGGAAUUUUGCUACUAAUAGUAGCCCAGUCCAACUNN